CCUGUAUCUGCUGCUCUGUGUACAUUCAACCAGCGUCGCUGAAAAAGCUUAGUAGGAGUCGGCUGUUCAUUUUUCAGCUAUAACAUUAUGACCACCUGCUGGCCAAAAAAGCCCUGACCCGUGGAGAUCUGGACUCUACUCUGUGUUCUAACACGUUUCUAUCAGAACCAGCAUCAACUGUUUCAGAAGUUUGACCUACAGUAGCUCGUCUGUUGGAUCAGACCACACGGGCCAGCCUUCGCUCCCCAUAUGCAUCAAUGAGCCUUGGCCGUCCAUGACCCUGUUGCCAGUUCACCGCUUUUCACUGACAGAUCCUCAGCGAGUUCUUUGACAUGAGGUGGCAUGGAGAUCUUCCAGUGACCAGUAUGAGCGAAAAUAGGAAACUGGAUCAUCCUGCUGGUACCUUGGCUCUGCCGCAGCGUACCAGCGUCCCCAUGAAGGCAAUGUUGCUGAGGGAGGAGAUGUCGCCAUUGGAUGCUUGCUGGUGGAGGGUGGACUUGGAGGAGGGGGUCGUCUCGCCCGUCAGACUGGACUCAUCCACACACAAGUCGGUCGACUGAGAGGGUGGAGACAAGACACAGAGGAUUCAAUAAACACUGGCAAAUGGACUUGACCAAGUCUGUAAAUUAAGAAAUGUCUUUUCGCUUUACUGUUUCACCACAGGUGGUAAAAGAAUUCCUUACGUGUUGAGUUAAAAGUUUACCUGUCGCCACAUUUCAGUUUCAGAGUACCAGCUGAACUUGUGGCUUAAUUACAGACUUUUCCAAGAACUUGCUAAUGACUCCAGCUACAUAUCAGUUCUUUCUAGGAAAUGUGACCUGUAAAAUAAACCUCAAGUCUGUGGCUGAGCUGAGCACUUAUCCAGGUGGCAUCAUGUGUGCCACUAUGUGAGUGUAAACAGCGUGUUCCUGGAAAAAUAUAUAUUCACGCUCA